rnacentral:rRNA from 1 species
GUUUGAUUCUGGCUCAGGAUGAACGCUGGCGGCAUGCCUAAUACAUGCAAGUCGAACGGAGUGAAGCCUUCGGGUUUCAUUCAGUGGCGAACGGGUGAGUAAUACGCAGGGAACCUGGCCAUGGCAGGGGGAUACACUCUGGAAACGGAGCAUAAGACCCCAUAGGCAGUAAGGCGGCAUCGCCUUGCUGUUAAAGAAAGCUGAAAGGCUUUGGCGAUGGAUGGACCUGCGGUGCAUUAGCUUGUUGGUGAGGCAACGGCUUACCAAGGCGAUGAUGCAUAGCCGGCCUGAGAGGGCGGACGGCCACACUGGGACUGAGACACGGCCCAGACUCCUUCGGGAGGCAGCAGUAGGGAAUUUUCGUCAAUGGGCGCAAGCCUGAACGAGCAAUGCCGCGUGAGUGAGGAAGGUCUUCGGACUGUAAAGCUCUGUUGCCGGGGAAAAAGGGGAAAUGCAGGAAAUGGCAUUUCAUGGAUGGUACCCGGCCAGAAAGCCACGGCUAACUACGUGCCAGCAGCCGCGGUAAUACGUAGGUGGCGAGCGUUAUCCGGAAUGAUUGGGCGUAAAGGGUGCGCAGGCGGUCUGUUAAGUCUGAAGGCAAAGGGAUGAGCUCAACUCAUUUAUGAUUCAGAAACUGGCAGACUUGAGGACAGGAGAGGGCGGUGGAACUCCAUGUGUAGCGGUAAAAUGCGCAGAGAUAUGGAAGAACACCAGUGGCGAAGGCGACCGCCUGGCCUGUGACUGACGCUGAGGCACGAAAGCGUGGGGAGCAAAUAGGAUUAGAUACCCUAGUAGUCCACGCCGUAAACGAUGAGGAGCAGGUGUUGGGAGUGAAAUCUCAGUGCCGAAGCCAACGCAGUGACUCCUCCGCCUGGGGAGUAUGCACGCAAGUGUGAAACUCAAAGGAAUUGACGGGGGCCCGCACAAGCGGUGGAGUAUGUGGUUUAAUUCGAAGCAACGCGAAGAACCUUACCAGGUUUUGACAUCGGAUGCGAAGGCGCAGAGAUGCGCUGGAGGCUAUCAUCCAGACAGGUGGUGCAUGGUUGUCGUCAGCUCGUGUCGUGAGAUGUUCAGUUAAGUCUGGCAACGAGCGCAACCCCCGUGGUAUGUUACUAACGCAUUUGGGCGAGGACUCAUAUCAGACUGCCGGUGACAAACCGGAGGAAGGCGGGGAUGACGUCAAAUCAUCAUGCCCCUUAUGACCUGGGCUACACACGUACUACAAUGGCGUCUACAGAGGGAAGCGACCCUGAGAAGGGAAGCGAAACCGGAAAAGGGCGUCCCAGUUCGGAUUGAAGUCUGCAACCCGACUUCAUGAAGAUGGAAUCGCUAGUAAUCGCGGAUCAGCAUGCCGCGGUGAAUACGUUCCCGGGCCUUGUACACACCGCCCGUCAAACCAUGGAAGCCGGCAACGCCCGAAGCCGGUGGCAUAACCUUUUAGGAGUGAGCCGUCGAAGGCGGGGCCGAUGACUGGGGUUAAGUCGUAACAAGGUAUCC